CGGGAUGAGUCUAUGAAUAUUUGGGUAAAAGAAAAGUGAUUGGUGAAGGGACAAACCUCCCUGGAAGGCUUGGUGAGCUCAAGGAUACUCUCCGACUUCAGGGAGAGGAGAAGAAAAUAAGAAAUUUGAAUGAAGACAUUGAACUACUUUGAGGGAACAAAGUUUGUUAUCCUGAUACACCAAAUCUUCAACGAUGUCAAUAAGGCAACGUUCACGCCCUUUGGCUAAAAGACUGAGUCUUCCAAGACCACUGGUCGUCCAGACAGGGCCGCGGUUCUUCUGGGGAAGCAUGAGGUUGUGCGUAUUUCAAUCAGUCACUCCACGAAGUGUCCAAAGCUGCUAAGCAGAGUGAAUCUCGGUACAGACAGCAGUGGAAUUCCAGAAGAUGCAGCCUCACCAGCAGAUGAGGUCCGGCCGGAAUCAGGUGGCACCUUCUCCAGGAAGCCUGCCCUGAGCGCAGAUCCAAAGAAGCCCCAGUCAGUGGUGUGUCCCGGCUUUCCCUUUCAUUUUCUCCUUAGCAUGUAAAUACUCUGGUAAGAAGCAUGAAGUUCAAGGGUUUGGCGAGAACAAAUUUUUCAAACAUAUCGAUAAGCUAAUGUUUUCUCAUUGUUAUGCUGCUGUGAUCUGCUGUAAAAUUAAUUAAGGAAUCUAGUGUAAAGUACUCUGAAGGCUUAUAAUACACUCCCCGUUUUUUUAAGGAAUCAAGUCAUUACUGUAGAGGGCAUGCGAAAAUUGGG